rnacentral:lncRNA from 1 species
UGAAAUUUUUUUAUUUUAUAUCCUAUUAUAUUUCUGGUUCAGAAAACAAGACACUUAUUUUAUAAUUGAAUACCAAAGAAACAUAAAACCCAUUAUGGAGAAAACUUCCACAUUGUGAAUAUCUUUCCACAAGAAAGGUAUCAUCUGCUCUCUCUUCUGAAAAAUUGGUCAAAUCUUUCCGGUAACUGCAACUUUCCUUAAAAUUCAGUGGUAGAAGGGGUAGACAAAAGACUUCUCUGAAGGUAAAUAUUUUAAAAUAAAGUAUCAUCCUUCAUGUACAAAUCCAUCAUACUCUGCAAUUCACAAGGACAGUAUGUUGGUAAAGGAAGCUUGGGAAUCCCAUAUGCAUCUGACCACAGGCUGGACUGAAAAUCAAGGGCAGAACUCAGGUACGUGUGCUUGUAGUCGUAGCAACAACCUGUUGCCAUGACCCCAUCUCCUGGUGCACCAAUGUAACAGAAUACCAGUUAACUGAACUACUUAGAAUAAAUUUCUUGGCCCAGUUAAUAAGAUGCAAGUUGAAUAUUCAGUUUCCAGAGACUACAUUUACCUGGCAGGUAAGUUAUUACAGAGAACAUGACAAUGAUGAUGUAAAAUAGCAAAGAAGGAAUGACUACUGAUCAUAUUCUUUUUUAUGAACACAACACGCACAUGCAUGUACACACACACAGAGAAAUGCUUCUUAAAGAAGAAAGAUUUAAUUACACAGUUGCUUGUUUAAGAGAGUAUGAGGGCUUUGCUUUAUGGAUGUCAGACAUGGUGGUUUGGUAUGAGGCAAAAAUUACAUGGCUGGAUUGUUGCAGAGCUAUGAGGUGAACAGAAGGAGGAAGAUGCAUACUUGCUUGUUUGCAAGCAUUCUGGCUAGUAUCUUGAGUUCACAACUUUCAAAAGAUUCAGCUUUCUUUCAGGUAUUUAAGACAAAAUUUUUAUUUCUUCUUAUUUCGCUUUUCUGUGAGCUACAAUAAAAAUCUGGGGGUCUCACUUUCAUUUACCCAUGAAUCCUUCCAUACGACCUGGAUACCAUUGUAACUGAGAAUAAAGUCUCUAAUAUUCAUUUUGUUUGAUAUAAAAUAAAUUCAGUUUUAAUGUCCCAAGGUCCCAGGAUUCCAAGACAUAAACAACUGGUAGUCUUAAAAGAAAUCCCUACUUACAUACACAUCUUGUAAGCUACCUAUUGCUAAGUGUCUUCCCCGGCAUUAU